UUUCUUCCAGGCAUGAUGAUGCGAUGGAAAAGUAUCUGAAAAUGUACGCGCUAGCUACCAGACUGUGACUGCGAGAGCAAGAACUUAAAUUCGAAGGCACUGCUGGUGCUGCUCUUGCUGGUGAGAUGUCAAAGAGCUCGAGUUUUGUGUUGUCCUCUUCUUUUAUGGAGGACGCGAGACGAGGAGGUAGGCCAUUUCUUUCGAGCUACUUCGAACUCACUACACUUAGCAUUGUUGCCACGAUUCCUGGUGAUCAAGGAGAGGAGGCCCACAGCUGGAGCUACGUCUUAACUUCCACUCUUGUCGCGGUAAGCGCACCAUUUGUCUACGCUAACUAGUUCUUCUCGAUCCGACUUCUCAUAUACGUUUUUUUCUUUUGUUGGUGGAUGGUAGGAAAGCGAGAAACUUUCACGAGUUUUUCUUCUUUUCUUCGCUGAGGGAGAAGCGAGAUUUUUGCCAUAGGAAGCAUGCGGUGCUUUCCAGGGUGUUGCUGUUUUCUUUUCGGAAGGGGGGUCCCUCCUCGCUUGUUACGCACACGUCUUUGUUUAGAAUCAAAACAGUGAAGCCAGCCGAUCGAAAGCGAAUCCGAGGAGGCAUCGCUCCCAUCAACGACGAUCGAUCGUGCAGUGGUGAGCACUACAUACUACAAAAGCUGGACAGAUUCGUUUGGUAAGCUUUGAAGUUUUUGAACAGUUCAAAGCGUUUUGGUUAGGACUCCUUUUUUCAAUGCAGCACUGCCGCACUAAUCCCGCUGGCAGAUCACAAAACAAAGUGCAACUUGGUAAAGCUUCGUCUUUUUUUUUAUCCUGGUGUCUUCACUCUCCCUUUGCGAUUUUAAUAAGGGUGUUUGUUGCACAGGCUGGUUGGCAAGCUGUUUGCGUCUGGCUGGUUCUUGGACACAUCUGGGAAAAUGGAAGCUACUGCCUUAACUCAGGUAUUGUUUUUCUUCCUAAGCUUCAGAUUAGUCCACUGGAGGAAAGAGCUACAGGAAGUUCUGGACCACCACGACACAUAAACUACCAUUUGUGGAUGGUGAAAUCUAGAAUUUCUUAAGCUUUAGAUCUAGUGGUGGUUGCGGGCUUGAGUGUAGGCUGGUUGACUGUCUAUGCAUUUUGGUAAAGUUUUCAGAGAGUUGUAUGCCUCCCUCGCUCUUUGCUUUCUCGGCCCACCUAGUCCCACUAUAUGCUUCUGUCUGACAACUGAGCUCACGCAAUUGACAUUCUCUCGCUUCGCUCGCUCGCUCGCAAAUUUCUCCAUCCUAGCGUUCGGCUAUAGAUUGCAACAGCACACUAGCGUGAUUUCGAUUGAUUGACUGAUUUGUGUCUCAACACUAAAGUAAAAGGAAAAUGAUUUUGUUGCUGCAUGACAAGUGGAAUCAUUUUCGAGAGAGCAAUCCACACAACCCGUGCACAAUCUGUGAUGCUGGUACGACCAUUUCGCUUUUCUUUGUUUUUUAUAUUCCCGUGACAUCUCGACUCAUCGAGAGCUCGCUUUUUGUGCAGAGGCUGCACAGACAGAAGAUGAUCAGUGUAAGAGAAGGUUAAGUUAUAUAUCAGUCAUGCAACGUGAAUGCAUUGUCGUGGCAAUGCUCGAGGAUGAUAGCGAUCGAUUGGAGCACACCUGUCAUUCAUCCAUUAUCAAUACAUCACCAUAAAACCAUCAGACGAAACAAAUCAGACAGCGAGGAGUUUAUGCCGCCUGAUCUAAGGUCUGAUGAUCAUCCUUUUCGCAAACUUAUGGUGCCUCACAUGCUCAUGGUCAGCCAUUUGAAGGCGUCGAUAAAGAGGGAGAGAAUAAACAAAGACUUUCCGGCACGACAGACCAGCUCUUCCAUUAAACUUCUGGCUACUG
rnacentral:lncRNA from 1 species